rnacentral:sRNA from 1 species
AAGCAUGCCCAUGACAUACAGUCAUGCAACCCUGGAGCUAGUCCUGGCUGGGUAGGAGAAGGGGGCAUGCAUGCGCAGCAGCUUUUGGGGCUGAUCCUUGAGUUACAAAAUGGGGCUGGAGCCCAGAGGGCUGUGGUCUCUGAGGCAUGUCUACUGAAGGAGCCCACCCAGGAGGCUCCCCCACCACCUUUCCUGGCCUGGGCCAGCUCAGCUGAGUUCAUUUCAUUCCUGUUUCCCUCCCCCAGGGCUCAGAGAGAACAGAUUGAGAAGGAGCGGCUGGAGGAGGAGAAAAAGGCCACAGGGCGCUUACAGCAUGCCAAUGAGCUCCGGCGCCAGGUGCGCGAGAACCAGCAGAAGGAAGUGCAGAACCGGAUUGCCACCUUUGAGGAGGGCCGGCGCCUCAAAGAGGAGGCCCAGAAACGCCGUGAGCGCAUCGAUGAGAUCAAGAGGAAAAAGCUUGAAGAGCUGAGAGCCACUGGCCUUCCCGAGAAGUACUGCAUUGAAGCUGAGCGCAAAGCUAACAUCCUGCCAGCUACCUCUGUGAACUGAGGGGAGCCUUCGUGGCCCUCAGGAUGCCUUCGGGGGACAGAUUCUGCCCAGUCUCUGGGUGUCCAUAAUUGCUGCUAACCUAGACAUUUCAUAGUUACAGAUUAAAUCUACUUGACUUUAA